UAUAUAAAAGAGACUUUCAAUCUCUCCUGGUGAUGCCAACAAGGACGACACGUCAUCAAUUCGUUCAAGGAGAGCGCAACACCUGUCCUCAUUAAACAAAACGCAGCGCUCCAACCUAAUUCUCGCCUUUGUUCAUGCGAGUCUGAUUUCGGCGAGAAUGACGAUCGAUAGUUCUCGCUCUGUCUGUAACGUAACUCGACUUUAAUGGCAUUAAUACAGACGCAGUACGAGCCCUUCGAUGCGUCGUUUCCGUCGGCGAGUCUCUGCUAUAAAUUUGCUCUAAGACUGCGAUGUUUGGCCUCACCCUAACGCAUUCAGAGAAGCUCAACUCUGUCAGCGACAAUCUGUACCAAUAGAUCGGAGAAGUUGUGAAUCCAUAUAAGAAGCAACGAACCAUGACGAGAAAGUCUUCAGCUUCCACUGUGACAGGUGACAAGAGGUUUGGCUAUGACCUAGGAAGAACUCAGUCAACAAGAGAAAUCAACUAUGGAAGCCAUUGUUGACGAGAGCUCAUACGCUUUGUCGAUUGUUAUAGUCAGUGUUGGAGACGUCCCAUGGGCAGACAUGAGGAAGUUCGAUGACAUGAUCCCUAAGCGUGAAUUCAAUAACUUUCUUCUCCGAUUUGAAGUCCGCCAAGAAUUUUUUUCUCCGAUUUGAAGUCAGGCUAAACUUGCUCCAGAGGCUCUUGAAUUUCCUAUGUGUCAUUCUUGAGGAGGGUAACAUCGUUGCUUCAGGGCUUAACCGAACUAAUGAGACAGGCAAUAGAGGCCACAAGACAUGCAGAGAUGAAGCAAUCGAUGAACUUAUUGGACAAUGCCAAAAAGAUAGACUUUCACCUUCACAAGUCGCUGAGAAAUUCUCGAAAUGCGUUCUUUACGUAACAUGUGAACCUUGCAUAAUGUGUGCAUCGACCCUAUCCUUCCUCGGUAUAAAGGAAGUAUAUUAUGCAUGCGGAAAUGAUAAAUUUGGGGGUUGUGGUUCCAUAUUUUUGCUUCACUUAGAGAGUUCUUAGAUAUAAGAUAUCCUUUGUAGACCCUAAAUAUCACACUACAAACUUAUUAGAAAAAAAUCGGCCUUAUUAAUUGAAGUCUGUGAUCUCUGUUUUUUAUAGUGAAGAAUCUCAAAGAGGAAAAGUGCAGAGGAAUAAUGGCAGACGCAGCUGUAUCUCUUUUCAACUCUGUUCUUUGAUGAAACAUCUUAAACACAGUUUUUUUUUUUUUUUGUAGUUUUAGCCCCAAAGCCACACCGCCCUGUAGUUCAAAGAGAGAGGACUUAGCCUCUUAGACGCGGACAUGGUUUGAAAAUUGGAGUUUCUGAUUAAAAUAUGAAGAAGUUGAGGUGGAGGUUGUCAAAUGAUAAUUCUAUGUUUGUUUUUGCUACAUUUGGCACAUGAAACGUUAUCAAUUACAUCCAAAACAAUUGUAUAUCCGCCUAAGUUGGAGCUCUCAAUCUCAAGCUACUAAGUUGGUUUUCUAACUUAAGGAAUUAGUUGUAUGUGACUGUAAAGUUUUAUUUUUGUACGGGUAGAUGAUAGACAUGACCAUCAUUAGAAGAAUAAAAGAUUAACUCAGUUUUUA